rnacentral:rRNA from 1 species
CAGCAGGCGCGCAAAUUACCCACUCCCGGCACGGGGAGGUAGUGACGNAAAAUAACGAUACGGGACUCAUCCGAGGCCCCGUAAUCGGAAUGAGCACACUUUAAAACCUUUAACGAGUAUCCAUUGGAGGGCAAGUCUGGUGCCAGCAGCCGCGGUAAUUCCAGCUCCAAUAGCGUAUAUUAAAGUUGUUGCGGUUAAAAAGCUCGUAGUUGGAUUUGUGUCCCACGCUGUCGGUUCACCGUUCGUCGGUGUUUAACUGGCAUGCCUGUGCGGACGUCCUGCCGGUGGAUGCGGUCGGCCGUGGGCCUCUGGUCUGCGCGUCGGCGGUCCGAUUCAAUCCUACCGCGGUGCUCUUCACCGAGUGUCGAGGUGGGCCGGCACGUUUACUUUGAACAAAUUAGAGUGCUCAAAGCAGGCAGUGGUUCGCCUGAAUAUUGUGUGCAUGGAAUAAUGGAAUAGGACCUCGGUUCUAUUUUGUUGGUUUUCGGAACUUGAGGUAAUGAUUAAUAGGGACAGACGGGGGCAUUCGUAUUGCGACGUUAGAGGUGAAAUUCUUGGAUCGUCGCAAGACGAACCUAAGCGAAAGCAUUUGCCACGAGUGUUUUCAUUAAUCAAGAACGAAAGUUAGAGGUUCGAAGGCGAUCAGAUACCGCCCUAGUUCUAACCAUAAACGAUGCCAGCUAGCGAUCCGCCGAAGUUCCUCCGAUGACUCGGCGGGCAGCUUCCGGGAAACCAAAGCUUUUGGGUUCCGGGGGAAGUAUGGUUGCAAAGCUGAAACUUAAAGGAAUUGACGGAAGGGCACCACCAGGAGUGGAGCCUGCGGCUUAAUUUGACUCAACACGGGAAACCUCACCAGGCCCGGACACCGGAAGGAUUGACAGAUUGAGAGCUCUUUCUUGAUUCGGUGGGUGGUGGUGCAUGGCCGUUCUUAGUUGGUGGAGCGAUUUGUCUG